GACGUAGGGUCCAAGCGUUGUCCGGAUUUACUGGGCGUAAAGGGCGCGUAGGCGGCCAGCACAAGUCAGUUGUGAAAUCUCCGAGCUUAACUCGGAAAGGUCAACUGAUACUGUGCGGCUAGAGUGCGGAAGGGGCAACUGGAAUUCUUGGUGUAGCGGUGAAAUGCGUAGAUAUCAAGAGGAACACCUGCGGCGAAGGCGGGUUGCUGGGCCGACACUGACGCUGAGGCGCGAAAGCCAGGGGAGCGAACGGG
rnacentral:rRNA from 1 species